CCCUUAGAUGUCCUGGGCCGCACGCGCGCUACACUGAUGCAUGCAGCGAGUUUAUAACCUUGGCCUGAAAGGUCUGGGUAAUCUUUUGAACGUGCAUCGUGAUAGGGAUAGAUUAUUGCAAUUGUUAAUCUUGAACGAGGAAUUCCUAGUAAACGCGAGUCAUCAGCUCGCAUUGAUUACGUCCCUGCCCUUUGUACACACCGCCCGUCGCACCUACCGAUUGAAUGGUUCGGUGAAGAUCUCGGACUUCGAUAUUUAUUCUUUAUUGAGUUUAUAUUGUGGGAAGUUAUCUAAACCUCAUCAUUUAGAGGAAGGUGAAGUCGUAACA
rnacentral:rRNA from 1 species